UUUUUCUGUAGCUGCUAUUUUUUUCACUUUUUUAUUUUAAAAACAUAAUAUAAAUUGAUAAUAUUUUGUUUCCUUUUUUAAAAGAUAUCGAAUUUAAAAUAAUGAAAUCCUAUUGGCCGAUGAACCUAGAGGUUGAACCAAAAAUAGCUCUUAGGUAAAACCCUAGUAACCAUAAGACUAGCUUCUCUCGAAACGAGACAACUCAGACAAGACAUAAGAGACAGAAAACCACUUUGUUGCGUCUAAACCGAUUAAAGUAUAGAAGAUGGAUCAUAUUAGCGGGUUACCAGACGAGAUUCUUUGUCAUAUAUUGUCCUUCUGUCCGACAAAGCGUGCUGCUUUGACAUCCGUUCUCUCAACAAGGUGGCGCGAUCUGAUUGCGUUUGUCCCUAAUCUUUACAUCGAUGACUCUGCGUUUCUUCAUCCCGAACUGCGUAAGCGAGAAAGGUACGAGAUUCUGCAAAGUUUCAUGGCAUUUGUGGAUAGUGUUUUGGCAUUGCAGGGUGAUUCUCCCAUUGGGGAAUUCUCUCUCAAAUGUAAAACUGCCUCGAGGGAUCGUGUGGAUGGUUGGAUAUGUAAUGUCCUGCAGCGUGGUGUUUCGGACGUUGAACUUCUCAUCGAGGAUGAUGUUGAUUAUUUGCUGCCUCAAGAGAUGUUAGUCAGUAGAACACUUACAAAGCUGAGAUUAAGGAACGCACGUUUGCCUGGGGGAGUUGAAGCGGCUUUCUUCUUACCAAUGCUUAAAACUCUUGUUUUAAAGGAGGCUCGGGUUUAUUCGGAUAAGCUUGAGAUGCUUCUUCCUACUCUCCCUGUGCUUGAGGAAUUAUACAUACACCCUUUGACGCGGAGACGUUCGCGCUGUACCGUGUCAAGUGCAAGCCUAAAGGAGCUGGGUAUAACUGUCACGGCUGAAGGAAAGUCAUCAAUAUCAAAGAGCUUUUCUUUUGAUACUCCAAAUCUGCUUUACCUUAACUAUUGUGAUUUCAUGGCGGAGGACUACCCAAAAGUUAACCUCAGUAAUGUAGUUGAGGUUGUACUCAACCUUAUUGCAAGUACAAGUCAAAUCAAUCAAAUAAGAUCGUCAAAUAAUAAUAACGAGGUUCUGUGGUAUGGUAAUGUGUGGAAACUCAUGAAUGGUAUUAGAAAUGUGAAGAAACUUGCUGUGUCAGAUUCUACUUUCCAGGUCAGUUUCUACGUGCAAAUCCAUGUUAGAACUUUCUUAUGCUAAGAUUCCUGACUUGCUUUUGUUUCUUUCUUGUUUCAGUGGUUUCCUCUAUGCUGUGAACUGGUCAACAACCUCGAAUGGUUACGGUUUUGUUGUUUCAAUCCAUAUGGAUGUAAAGCAAUGCCGGUUAUCCUAAGGAAAUGUCCACAUUUAGACACUCUAGUCUUUCAGGGUCUCUCAGAGUAUUGGAAAGACAAAUGCCGGGAUGCAUGUGACUGCAUUUCUCGGGAGGACAAAAGUCGUUUGCUCAUGAAAAAGAUACAGAUCAAAGGGUUUAGAGGAACAAACGCAGAGAUGGGAGUGUUAGCGCAUUUUUUGAAGUAUUUUCCGUGUUUGAAGGAGAUUCAGAUAUAUGCCGGAGAGAAUUGUACUACUGAUAUUUUUGAACACAUUGUGAAGUUAGUGAAUCUCUACAACGAGAGUUAUCAACUUGUGGUUCACUUCCUAAAGUAAACCCCUAGCUAGUGUAAUAUACUCAUGAGAUUUUUCAUUAAGAAAAUUUUUUCUCUCUUUCCUUACUAUUUUGGUCGUAAAAUAUCAGAGCUAUCAGUGGUACCUGAAGGAGAAAGAUAGAUGGUUGGACUCUUAUUUCCCGUAUAAGAUAUGUUCUAUAUAUUUAGAGCAUCUUUAUCGGUGUUUCUUAAUGGGAGUUUUGCAGUAAUUACAUCAUUAAAUUAAAUGAAAACUAAAAGAAAAUGGCAUAACCGAUCCUUCAUUUGAUAUUUUCGGGACCGUUCCUUAGUGAUAAAGUGGACACACGUGUCAGCAUAUGGGGAAACUGAAAUUAAUUUUGUUUUCUUUCCUCUCUCUUUCUUCUCUGUCGUGACCGAGCCAAUUCUUCGUCUUCUCUCUUGUUUUCUCCGUCGACGAUGGCGUUCUCUCGUUUUCUCCCUAUGGGCGACGAAGGCGUUCAAUUGAUUGUCCAAUUGGUUUCCAUGUGUGGAAGAUCUGAGCCAGUGUUAGAUGAUACUUCGAAGAUCAGAGUCAUCCACUAUCUCUUCCUUACCGUUCGUGUUCUUCCUCCUCAGGCUCAACCAUGUUUGGUUUCGUUUCUAAUCUCGCGUCGGAGGCUAGAAGAAGAGUUUAGAAGCUAUGGAGGGAGACUAGAUUCACGGAGAGAGGAGAAGAGUUUCGAAGCAAUGGAGGGUGGAGAAGAAACUGGAGCGAUUGAGAACUGAGUCUGUGCAGAGGUCUCUAUCUCUCUCACUUCUCUCGCUCACGAACAGUACUCGAAUCUCUAUCUCUCUCACCUUAGUGUAUGUGCAUUGUUGUUAGGUGGGAAGAGAAGCUUAAGAUGUCUCACUUAGCUGAAAUGGUGUUUGGAGAGAAUGCGUUAGUACUUAAACACUUAGGCAGCAACACUAAGAUUCAUUUUAACGGGUUUGAUGCACUUGCGGGUUGGAAGCAAGAAGGACUUACACCUGUUGAGGUUCCUGCUGCCGCAAAAUGGAAGUUCAGGAGCAAGCCGUCCCAGCAGGUGAUACUGGAUUAUGAUUACACUUUUACUACGCCUUACUGUGGUAGCGGAGUUGUUGAGAAAGAUCAAGAAACGGUAGUUUUGUAUGAAGAUGAACUGGCUGCCAAUGGAGUGUCACUUCUGACUGUGAAAGUGAGGCGAGAUUGACCACAGAGCUCAAGGAUAAAGUCGCUCACGUUGGUGCCAGUCUUGUCAAUUAAAAAAAAAUGGGUCAAUCGCGGGUUCCCACGCGGCGAUGGGACCCGCGUACAGUGACGAGCCCGGCAGCGAAAUGGUCCUUACCUACGGACUGCAAGACACAAUUAUGGCACAAAUUUCUAAUUUUUUUGGUCCCCAUAUAUAAUAAAAAUAAUUUGUUGCUAAGGAUUUUUUUGUAAGGAUCAGCGUUGCAGCCGCUAUUAGGGCAACAUUAUUGGUUGGACAAAAUUUUGUCCUUAGAAUAAAUUAGUAUUAUUUUUUAGUUAGAGACAAAUGCAUAAGGAUUUUUUUAAUUUUGUUGAUUAUUGGUAGGACAAAAAAAGUCCUUAGCAUAUUUUCACACAUUUAUUUUAAUGUGUGAUUAGAUAUAAAAGAUACAUUUUAAAUAAAACAUAAAAGAGAAGUUUAACAUUAAAUUGAAAGCAAAAUAGAAUUAGAACAAAAAAAAAUUUUUUAAUGGAAACAAACAUUUUAUUAAAUUCAUAAAAACUUAUAAAUUACAUGUUAUCUGGACGAUGUCUAAAUUUUACCCAUAUAUUUUCAAUCAAAUCAUAUUUUAAAUUAUGAUGGGUUUGUAUAUUGCGAACGCUCGUCCGACGAUCCAUUGUAUUGCCGACCGGCGAAGGCGUAUUGACGGAAAAUCUUUCCAUAUCCCUUUCUUGAAUCCAGGAACCACAUAUUGUGUCCUUGAUGCCCGUUCAUCCUCCACAAUCAUAUUAUGGAGAAUGAUACAUGCUCUCAUAAUAUUUUCUAUCUUGUGUUUAUCCCAUAAAUUAGAUGGAUUUCUGACGACGGCAAAUCUAGCUUGCAGGACUCCAAAGGCGCGUUCAACAUCUUUCCGUACAGACAGAAAACACACAAAGGUUGUAGCAGAUAUUUCUCUAAAUAUACUCGGCGAGGAGCUUGUUUUUGGCUGCUUCCUCAGCCUCACUGAGUGGUUGCGUUCUGGCCAGGAGUGUGUCUAAGAUGGCAAGCUUCUGGAGCUUUUCUUUCCUAUCCAAAUCCACCUUCCUCAGUUCAAGUACCGUUGUAUAGUAAUCAACAGACUUCCCACUCCCAUUACGUUUAGCUUUUGCAGCUUUUACACCUUCAGGGCGUAUCUCUUCUUCACCAACACCUGUGGUUUCAGUUUGGGAAUCUGAUUCAACGGUUUUCUCUUAGAACUAUCAGAAGCUUUAGUGCUGUUGAGGUUGAGCCAUUUCUGCUCAUACCUCAACACACACCACGCAUGCUCCAGUGUGAAUUUGGACCCCUGAUCUGCGAAGAAAAUGUCAUGGACCACCUUGAGUACAUCGUUCUCAUGUUCACCACUGGAUAUCUGUCUCUCUGCAGCCGCAUAUGCACCACAAAACUUUGAUGUGUCAUUACUGAUUUUGUGCCACCUCUGUUUAUAGUGGAGAUGCUGGCUACUUUCAACACAAUCUCCACCACAAAGAGCUGCGAAGAACAAAUCUCCUACACGUUUCCAGUAAGUGCCUGAUUUUUGGUUAUUGCCGACUAUAGCGUCCUUAGAGGUAUUUAACCAAGCACUUAUCAGCAUCUCGUCCUCGACCGGGGUCCAUUUAUGUCUCCUCCCACGCUCCACGGGUGGAUCUGUGGGUGGAGUUGGAGCAACAGACUGUUGAAAACUGAAUUGAGGGAUCUGUGAAGAUCCAGAAGGAAAACUCUCAUAAGGAGAGUUCCCAUCAUUAACACUUUCGUGUUGACUGUAAAGAAGGCCCGUAUAACCAACAGACUGGCUAUACGGAUUCCUUGGAUCCAUAUAGAAGAAGGAAUGUGAGAGAAUAAAGAAGAUAGAAGAAGGAAUGUGACAGAAUAAAGAAGAUAGAAGAAGGAAUGUGACAGAGUUAGACCAGAGAAAAAAGAGAACGAAGAUGAUGGAGAUAAACUCGUGAAAGAAGGGUUAAAUAGUUGAAAAUGAUAAUUAAAACUCCCAUAAUGACCUAACUACAAAAGUACAUCUCAGUUAUUGUAUAUUACACAACCAUAAUUACCUAUCUACAAGUGCAUUAACUACUUUCCAAACUAGCCUUGCAAACAAACUAGACACUUUGGUCACAAUCAAAACAGACUCGACACUAUGGUCACAAUCAAAACAGACUCGACAGUACCAAGAAAGUGUGGCCUUGCAAACAAACUAGACGCCUUUAACUAUUGUACAAACUACAUUACUUGGUAGCUGAAGAGAAAUAAGUUUACCUUCAAGUGUGGAGGAAAUGGUUGUUUCUCUUUGAUCUCCUUGCUAAUACAAUCCUCGUGAUCGAACCUCACCUCACCUAAUAAACUCGGAAACAUAAGAACACACUUCUCAGUUUCAAGAGUUAAACAACAAAUAAUUACACAAUACACAAUCUACUGAAUCGUUACACGUCUAUAACAGAACACAUUUACCAGAUGCGAAGAACACAUUACACGUCUGCUGAAUCGAUAAACUCAUCUCACCUCACGUACACAAUCUACAUCAUAAUCCCUAAAUCUACACGAUAACAUCACAAAAUACAAAUGAAUCAUUUAUCAUCAAAGACUAAAGAGACGAAAAUAUAAAUACGAAAUCCCUAAAUCUAUAGAAAAUCAAGCAAAUGACUCAAAGUAUAAAUACAUGCAAAUCCCUAAAAUCACCCUUUCACCUUCGAUUCGCAGCGAUAAAGGUCGGGAGGAGACGAUCGAGAGGAGAUCCGUCUAGAGGAGACGCUCGGGAGGAGAUGCGUCCAGAAGAGAUGCUCCACAAGCAAACCGUCUAGAGGAGACGCUCGGGAGGAGAUCCGUGGUUCUGUUAUCGAAUCGGGGGGAGAUCCGUCGGCGGGAAGGGGAUGCGCCGUUGAUGAGAGCUCUAUCGCAUAUUCGAUCAUCGCGAGAGAGAAAGAGAAAGAAGUGAAAAGUUGAUUUUCGAUUCUUUUCGGUUUUGCCCAAACCAAAACGCUUCCACCAUUCCCUUGCCGACACGUAUCAGCUAAGGACAAAAAAAAAACAUGUUAGCCAACGACAAACCGCGUCCGUCCCAGCGAUAUUAUACAAUUAUUAUUUAGAUAAAAUCAAAUAAAGCCUAACGACUUCCUCUAUCAUACCCCGAUAAUGUUGCCCUUAGUACCAUUCACUAUGAGAAGUUAAAGUAUCACACAUUACACGAUCAUACAACAGUAACAAAUGUGUGGUUCUUGUCCCUCGACAAGUUUUAUUAAUAUAUGAAUUCCUGAUUACUAGUGCGGGGUUUUGAUUCAGAGACCGGAGGGCAUUCAUCCGGCUACCACUAAAGUUUUUUUCUUUUUUUUUGGUUGAAGAUUUUCUUCUAUUUAAAGCAUGAGAAAAAAAAGAAAACAAGCCAUAAAGCCUUAGUUUUUGGGCUGCACCCUAUUACAAAAAAAAAUAGGCCGAAGCCCACAUUAGAGAAAAAAACCAGUGGAUAAAAGAUGAGAUAGUAGAAGCCCAGAUGGCCAGAAAAAUGAGUUACGGAUCAGAACUGAAGACUUAGACGGUUGAUUGCAGAAGUGGUAGAGGAGGGUUUAGAGGAUAUGGUGAUGGAGCAGUUGCAAACCAGAGCUGAAUCAUCUGAGAAGCUCCGAUUGGGUUUGAGUCUCUGAAGCCAUGGAUCUUAUUUCGAAUCGUUCUGUCCAGUAUGGAAGAGAUGGUAGUAAUGGUUUUUGCAGUGUUGCGGUGAAGUCAGAGCGUUCCUUUCUUGCCAAAUAGAGUAGAUUACAGCUUGCCAUACAAUCAGUUGAAGCUUCCUGCGCCAAGGAGGUCCUGGUAGUGAUUGCAUGCGAUUAGACGCCAAGAAAGCAUUUGCAGCUGCCAUAUCCUCCGUUGUUCCCUAAAUAAUUUUUUUAAAGAUAUAUUGUGUAGUGUGUACUACAAUUUGGAUUAAGUACAUAUUCACUAAAUACUUUUUAAAAAAUUAAAAUUUAAAAUUAUAAAUGAUAAACAUAUUACUAUAAUUUAGUUUAUUUUUAUUAAAAUAUGUUGGAGCACAAUUUUAGUUUAUGAUAUUAAAAUAACAAAUAACAUUUAUAUAUCUUUUAAUUAUGACAUCUCUUAUUUAAUAAAUAUGUAUAUUUAAAUUACAAAGUAUAUAUUAAAUUAUGUAAUCCUCCUAUAUAUUAAUUGAAAAGUCAUUUAAGUGAUUUCUGCUGACGUGUCGUUCAUAUGAGAGCUUUCCAAUUAAUUGUUAUAAUUUGAUUGGUUGAUGAUUUUUAAUUUUUAUUUAUUUAAUUAAAAUUUUUAAAAGGAAACUAAGCCUAUAAUUACCUAAUCUAACAUAUGUUUCUAAACAUACAAUUAAUCAUCUUAAAUAUAGAUGAAUUAAUAUAAUUUAUUUAUAGAAACAGUUUAAUAUCAUAGAUUACAUUAUAUAAACUAAUAAUAUACAUUUAAAUACAUAUGAUACUACAUAAACAAUUAUAAAAACGGUUUUGAAUAUAUCUAUAUUAGUAGUGAAUACAAUAAAUCAUAGAUUCCAGAAAAUUAAUUAAUGUAAACCUAGUAAUAUUAAUUAAACUCACUCAUUCACUAUAUAUAUCUAUUUUAAAAUGUUUCAAAAAAAUGCAAAACAGUUAAAUAUAUAAUUUUAAAAAAAUUCUCAUAAUUUUCCUAUGAAAAUAUGAUAUCAUAGAUAAGUUAUCACUUUUAGAAAUGAUUAAAAUACUUCUAUAUAUUAAUUAAGAAGUCACUUAAGUGAUUUCUAAUGAAGUGUCGCUCAUAAGAGAGUUUUCCAAUUAAUUGUUAUAAUUUGAUUGGUUGAUGGUUUUUAAUUUUUUAUUUAUUUAAUUAAAGUUUUUAAAAGGAAACUAACCCUAGAAUUAUCUAAUCUAAUAUAUGUUUCCAAACAUACAAUUAAUCAUCUUAAAUAUAGAUGAAUUAAUAUAAUUUAUUUAUAGAAACAAGUAAAUAUAUAUCAUAGAUUACAUUAUAUAAACUGAUAAUAUACAUUUAAAUACAUAUGAUACUACAUAAACAAUUAUAAAAACGGUUUUUAAUAUAUCUAUAUUAGUAGUGAAUACAAUAAAUCAUAGAUUUCAGAAAAUUAAUUAAUGUAAACCUAAUAAUAUUAAUUAAACUCACUCGUUCACUAUAUAUAUAUAUAUCUAUUUUAUAAUGUUUCAAAAAAACGCAAAACAGUUAAAUAUAAAAUUUUAAAAAAUUCUCAUCGUUUUUCUAUGAAAAUGUGAUAUCAUAGAUAAGUUAUCACUUUUAGAAAUGAUUAAAAUACUUCUAUAUAUUAAUUGAGAAGUCACUUAAGUGAUUUCUGUUGACGUGUCACUCAUAAGAGAGCUUUCCAAUUAAUUGUUAUAAUUUGAUUGGUUGAUGGUUUUAAAUUUUUUAUUUAUUUAAUUAAAGUUUUUAAAAGAAAACUAACCCUAGAAUUACCUAAUCUAAUAUAUGUUUCCAAACAUACAAUUAAUCAUCUUAAAUAUAGAUGAAUUAAUAUAAUUUAUUUAUAGAAACAAUUAAAUAUCAUCGAUUACAUUAUAUAAACUGAUAAUAUACAUUUAAAUACAUAUGAUACUACAUAAACAAUUAUAAAAACGGUUUUUAAUAUAUUUAUAUUAGUAGUGAAUACAAUAAAUCAUAAAUUCCAGGAACCAAUUAAUGUAAACCUGAUAAUAUUAAUUAAACUCACUCAUUCAAUAUAUAUAUAAAUAUAUAUAUAAAUAUAUAUAUAAAUAUAUAUAUAUAUAUAUAUAUCUAUAUCUAUUUUAAAAUGUUUCAAAUGAAUGCAAACAUUCAAAUAUAUUAUUUUUAAAAAAUCUCAUCAUUUUCGUAUGAAAACGUGAUAUCAUAGAUAAGUUAUCACUUUUAGAAAUGAAAGAUAACUAUAUAACUAAUUAAUAUAAAUUAUCAAAUAACACAAGUAAUAUUACAAAUAAUGAUUUAUGAUAACUAAUUGUAGAAUUGGAGAAAUAAUAUAUAUGUUUUAUCAAUUUAUUUUUCUUUAUCAAUUAUUUAUAUAUAAUUAAAUAAAAUACUUUAACUUUUUUAUUGAAAAAAAUUUAAUGGUUAUAUAUUCCUAUAUAAAAUAAUUAGAUUUGUAGUUAAAGAAUUAUUAGAAUUUUUUAUGUUUUCUAAAGUCCACACAAAAAACGUUUACAAAAUAUCUUCAUGAUAAAAGCAUCUGAUCAUUGUAUUGGUCCUACACAAAAAAACUCUCUUUUUUGUUUCUUGAACGCUAGAGUAUUCCCAGUUUUUUUAUGUGUUAAAAUAAAAUAUAAAGUAAUUCUUCAACCAAUUAUCUGAAUUAAUUAUAAGGUGAGAAAUAUUUGCAAUAACUAAGGUUUACAUUGUUGAACUAUUUUAAAUCUCACCAAUCUUCUAAAAAUAUAUACUGGAAUUUUGAUUAUCCUUUGAAAUUAAGAAUUUAAAAUUUAAAAUUUUAAUUAUUAUUCAAAAAUUAUAACAAUGUAAACAUAAUAUAUAUUUCUUUAUAUAAUAUAAUCACCCGCAAAAUUGCGGGCAGACACCUAGUAUUCACAUAAAUGAUGAACUAUCACGAAAAGAGAAAAAUUAACUUUAUAUAUGUAUAAUAUCUUAGUAUAGUCAAGUUAUUAUAUUUUAAUAAAAUGCAUUGAAACAUAAUUUUUGUUUAUAGAUUAAAAAAUAACUUUUCAUAUUCAUGUUAAUUUAUGUUAAUACAUCUAGAUAAUUGAUAAUAACAAAGAAUAUUUCAUAUUUAUUUUAAACAUAUUUAUAUGAAGAUUUUAGAUUUCAAAUUUAUACAUAAUAUAAUAUGGUGUAUUUGUAGAGAAUGAUUUGUUACCCAUUCAAAAAGAAACUCGUACUUAGAACAAAUGGACUCUUUGACAAUUUGUUAAAAUAUUUGGAUUAAAUAAUAAUAAAAUAAAAAGUUGAAAAAAAUUGUAAAUGAAUGAUGAUGAUAAUGUUAAUUUUUGUUGCAUCAGUUGGCUUGAUGAGAAAGGUAGAAAACUCUUAAAUAAAACUAGAUCAGAGAAAAAAAAAAAA